ensembl:lncRNA ETS2-AS1 ETS2 antisense RNA 1
CCCAUCCUGGACCUUCUCCUGACACACAGCAAACCACACUUAGCUGUCAUUGAUGAAUCGGAGCCUCUGCCAGACAGCCGGCCAAGCCGACGCUAACUCACCCCACAGCCUGAAAUAGAAACUCGCUCGUUUUCCAGUGUGUGACAAAGAAGGAAGGACAUCAACUGGGAGUGGCCCAGAAGCCCGAAGCUGAGAGGACAAAGCUCACUGGGUCCUCCACAAUCUCUACUUUACCAAAAUCCAUGCGGGUGCAUCAUAAAGAGAGAUGCUUGAUGACCAAGUUGUUCUGGACAAAUCAAGCUCAUCUGUUUGCAGCCCCUGUUCCUGGGGAACAAAACCUCCUAGUCAAGAAUCAUCACGCCCAUGGCUACACUACCACAAACACUCCAGUAAAUCAGGAGGGAAUAUUGAAAUUGGAACCACAACACUUGGGUAUAUCAGGUUGGAAAAGACAGUUCAACAGAUGGCUGGUCACCUUGAUUGAGUAGAAUGCCACUGGAAGACCACAAAUCUCUAAACCAUAGUGAAGAAUUGGCCAAGGGGAGCAAAAUCCAAUCAAUUCAAGGGGUUCCCCUUUCCAGGGUCUUGGACAGCGAGGUGACAUGAAAUGGCCGUUCUAGUCUAUGCAAUGGCAGCAUGAACACAGAAAGCUGAAACGGGGGAUCAGUUCUGCAGCCAAGAGACAUUAAAGCUCAAAGGAAAAGAGAGUGGAGGGGCUGCUGCCCCAGGAAGGCUGGGCCCACCCCUCCUCACAGGCACCCUGAUGCCUGUUCAGCUUGGCUCUCUGGAUGACAGGCAGAAGCCCCAGUUGCUUCUCUUCUCCACGGUGAUUUCUGCAUACUUUAUCCAAACCCCCUCCCCACCGCUGUUCAGUUUCUGGCUCCUCUUCCUGCCCGUGCUCUGAGGCCAGCUGGGGGCCUCCCAGGUGACUCCUGCUGCUGCUGUCACUGGACCCUGACGCUGUGCCGCACCCGAAUUCCUCCGAAUGGAGCCUUGGCCAGAGCAAGGCGUGCCGUGUAGAGGAGCGGAUCUG